rnacentral:rRNA from 1 species
CAAUACUUCGCCGGCGACCGGCGCACGGGUGAGUAACACGUGUGCAACCAACCCCGUACCGGGAGAUAACCCGCGGAAACGUGGACUAAUAUCCCAUAAUACUGGAGGAUCGCAUGAUCUUUCAUUUAAAAUUCCGGUGGUACGGGACGGGCACGCGCGACAUUAGGUAGUUGGCGGGGUAACGGCCCACCAAGCCGACGAUGUCUAGGGGUUCUGAGAGGAAGGUCCCCCACACUGGAACUGAGACACGGUCCAG